rnacentral:rRNA from 1 species
UCCUACGGGGCGCAGCAGUGAAGAAUAUUGGUCAAUGGUCGGGAGACUGAACCAGCCAAGCCGCGUGAGGGAUGAAGGUACAGAGUAUCGUAAACCUCUUUUGUCAGGGAACAAAGGCGGGGACGUGUCCCCGGAUGAGUGCACCUGAAGAAAAAGCAUCGGCUAACUCCGUGCCAGCAGCCGCGGUAAUACGGAGGAUGCGAGCGUUAUCCGGAUUUAUUGGGUUUAAAGGGUGCGCAGGCGGUCUGUUAAGUCAGCGGUCAAAGCCCGGGGCUCAACCCCGGCCCGCCGUUGAAACUGGCAGU